AAAAUUCCGAUCUUUGGGAAAGUAAAGGAACUGCUGUGUGAGAGGAAAAAUGUCAAUACCUUUGGAGGACAGUACAUGGAUUAGAGCUAUAAAGAUGUUGGUCUAAGUCACAAGAGUUUUGGAGACCGGAAAUGCUUGAUUUCAGUAGUUGAAUUUAAAGUUAUCUGAAGGCUGCUGUUGGAGUAGUGAAGCAGAUCACUUCACUCUGGGGUGAGCCAAGGAGGUUUGGGUGCUGUGGACAGGCUGAAGAGGUGCCUGAGGAGCCACAUCUGGGUGGCAUUCCAUUC
rnacentral:lncRNA from 1 species